AAGUACUUCUUGGUCAAGUACUUCAGAUACCUCUUGGAGAAGGCCCCGUCGGAGGUGACGGUGACCUUGGUCUUGUCGCGCGUGACGGUGACGGAGUCGCCGAGGUUCCCGGCCUUGCCGCCGGCGACCUUGAUGCGCUCCUGCAGGAACUUCUCGAGCGACGCGAUCUCCAUGAUCUUGUCGUCGACGGGCUUGGCGCAGUCGAUGACGAAGGUGACGGAGCCCUUCUUCUUCCCGGCGCCGCCCUUGCCCCCCGCCGCCGCCGCCACGCCGCGCGCCAUCUCCCCUCGAGCUUCGCUUGCUU
rnacentral:misc_RNA from 1 species